GUAUUCCUGCCCAGUGACAUCACGUUCAACGGCCGCGGUAUCCUAACCGUGCAAAGGUAGCAUAAUCACUUGCCUAUUAAUUGUAGGCUAGAAUGAAAGGAUCAACGAAAUAAAGACUGUCUCAAUUAGUCACCUAAAAAUUAUUCUCUAUUUGAAGAAAAAUAAAUAACCUCGAAGGACAAGAAGACCCUAUAGAGCUUUAUUCUAUGUAUAGAACUACGCUAUAAAAGUAUUCGGUUGGGGCGACCCCGGGCUAAAUAAUCACCCAUUAAAUAAAAGAUACAUGUAUCAAAUAAAUGACCCUUAUAAGAUCAAUAAAACAAGCUACCUUAGGGAUAACAGGCUAAUCCCACUCAAGAGUCCUUAUCAACAGUGGGGUUUGGCACCUCGAUGUUGGCUUAGGGUAUCUAUAUAGCGCAAAAGUUAUAUAAAGAUGGUUUGUUCAACCAGUAAUUCCCU
rnacentral:rRNA from 1 species